ensembl:lncRNA
AUCCUAGUAAAGAGCCUUGGGAUUCGGUUGCUAUGGAGAAGAGAAACCAGUGCUGUGCGGCAGGAAUAGGUUACUGCGGUAGCUGACACUGCCUAGAAGGUCAUCAAGCCUGUGCAGACAGAUUGCAGCCUAUCGUGAAAGGAGGCGGAAAGUUAACUGUUCAAAGAAUGUCUGUAGGAUGCUCCCCCCAUUGUCCCCCCCAGUGCCUACAUCCACUGUCUAGUACACUACAAUACCACAUUUGAGAAGGACAGAUUAAAAACUAAGAGGGAUUGAACUGAGGCCAUCCGAUUUGGCGCCAAGGACCUUUACCUGCCGAGUCACUUCCCUGCCUCUGUGUUCAGAUUCUUUACAUGCGUUUAAAGCUGGCGACACCAGAACAUGCACUUUAUCGUAACGGAUCUAUUCCAGAACAUCUUUCUAGAGCUCAGCAGUGAAAACUUGCAUUCCCGCUCAGCAGUGAAAACUUGCAUUCCCGGAGCCACCAUUUCAGACUGAUUUUCUCUGAACACAAAACAGACGGUUUGCCCUGAAAUCACUGGGGGAUAAUGGAAGCUGCAGGUUUUGCGAUGAUCUUUAUCUGCGGUGCCCCUGGCACUGGCUUGGGGUUUAGGCAAACAGAGGCUCCAGAGUGCCUUGCAAUAAAACCUGGGAGCUUCCUGGUUGCUGGUAACAGUAACUACUACCAUCAGCAAGAGCUACCACAGAGCCCCAAAGACUCAGUCUUUCACAGGACCCUGGGAAGCCUGGCGCUGGGUUUCUAAUUUCAGACACAACGGAGAUAAAGCACAAAGGCUUUCUGCAAGGAAACUGUCUUCCAGACACAGCGGGACUGACACACAGAGAAUUCACAGAGGAGGAGGCAGCAUGCACAGGCCUGCCCAGGUUCCUGCUACACAGGGUCCUCUCACAGAGCAGGGGAAGUGGACACCGGAUCUCAUCCGUGACCGAGAAGCUAUUUACAGUUAAUACCCCCUGGCAAAGGGAAAAUCAAUUUUCCCCAAUAGAGUAUCACCGGGUUUAUCAACCACACUCCAGGGCAUGUCUUUUUGCCCAGAAAUGGCCAAUACGAAAUGGACUCCAUAUUUGUUUGUAUCUGGGAGCAGGGAGGCAUUUUCUUCUCUCUUUUUUUUUUUUUUUUUUUUUUUUGGUUCUCUUUUUCGGAGCUGGGGACCGAACCCAGGGCCUUGCGUUUCCUAGGUAAGCGCUCUACCACUGAGCUAAAUCCCCAGCCCCGGGAGGCAUUUUCUUACACUAUUUAGUUUUGUUUGGCUUUUUUUGUUGUUGUUUGGUUUUUCCAGGCAGGGUUUCUCCAAGUAGCUCGGGCUGUCCUGGAAUUUGCUCUUGAGAAGGCUGAUUCCACGACAGGCUCCAAAUUGGCAGUUAAAGACACUAGGCCUAAAAAUCCAGGCUUCAGGCAGCUAGUCAGAAACUGCCCCACCGCCUGGCCAGAAACAGGACAAUGGGUCAGCAGUUUCCAGCCAGCCCUCAUGCCCCAGUAAUAGAAUGUCCUUAGAGAUAGAGCAAGACAGAGUCCAAGCACAAAGUCCACUACCCCGGGAUUCUAAGGUGCUUUACAUUGGGUCUGCAAGCACACUUCCAGGGUCUCUCUUGGUAAUAGGGAGACCCCAGCAAGCUGGACUUCUGCAGAAUAAAACACUCCACGUUUACGUUCUCCAAUGGAUCAGGGACCCUUACACUCUGUAGAGCCGGCUGCCUCUGCCUUUGAGUGCUGAGGUUAAAGCAUCCAGCUUUACUUCACGUUUCAAGCAUUUAUUUUUACCUGGAUUUAUGCGUAUGCGUGUGUGAGUAUAUACCACGUAUUUUUGCGCAUCCGUGGGGGUUGGUAGAAGACAUGAGACCAUGGAGUUGUAAGUCAUCAGGUGUGGAUACUAGAAACCGAACUUGGGGUCCUCUGGAAAGCAGCGAGCGAGUGCUCUAACCACUGAACAUCUCUGCAGCCCCCAGAGUAGAUUUUGAACUUAUUUGUUUACUUGUUUGUUUGUUUGUUUGUUUAUGUGUAGCAGCAAAGAUGCACACUAGUCUGUGUGACCAUUUUCCUUCUAAAUCUGGUCAAGAACACAUUCUAAUUUCUUCUCAAUUCUGCCUCAUUUUAUUAGUGUCAGGGAGAAGCAGAAGGACACGGGGUUGUGUAUCUGACUCGGGCAUUUUAUUAAUUUUUAAUAUUUUUUACAUACGCACACAUGUCACAGCUCAUGUAGAAGGUAGACUACUCCUGUAUAUGGGGCUCAGGGAUGGAACGUGGGUCCUCAGGCUUCCCCACAAAUCAAUCUCUCUCUCUCUCUCUCUCUCUCUCUCUCUCUCUCUCUCUCUCUCUCUCUCUCUCUCAGCCUUGUGUUUCCUAGGCAAGCUUCAAGCUCCCUCUGCCCAGCACCAGGUCUGUUUUACCUGUGCUUACCUGGUGCUGUGGACUGAGCUGGGCCUGCACCCACAGCCUCCAGACUUGGGGAUUUUUAAAUAAUCCUAAACUUUUUUGUAACUGCCAGUCUUCUGUGAACAUCACUACCGAUUUCCACUCUCCUGUAUGCAUUUAGGAAGGCCAACCGGAAGAUUCCGUCUUGGGGUUUGUUCUCUAAUUUGUCUUUCAGAUAAAGGCAGAUGCAUGCAGAAGAUCAAAUUCAGCAGGGCAGUUGAAGGUUUUUCCAUGACUAAUGCGAGCAAAUUGCGUAAGUGCCUCUCCCACCCAUGCUUCCCCUCAAAUCCUUACUGGCUGCGGUAUUUCAUCCCGACUACCCGACCACCCGGCUCUCGCUUUAUCUGACACAUUUUCUAUUUUGCCUGAAGCUCUAAAGUCAGGUGAAGUGAAAGGUGGUGGCUGGAUUAAGAAUUAUCCCCUCCCUCCGCCCCUGCAACCUUGCUAGUCCGUCUCCUAGCAACUGUACGGUUUGUUGCUUAGCAACAAGAGAGGCAAGAGUGCUGCCCCUCCUGCGAGUCUAAAAAUACAGAAAACAUUAAAAAAAAAAAAAAGACUCAUCAGCGGGGUCUUUUAUUAAAUAUACUAAAUACAGAGACAAUCUUACAAGCGGGGGGGGGGCUUAGCGCAGGUGAACCUCUACAUCUCUUACAGCGUACAAUAAUAAUUUGUUGUACAUAGAAACAGAAGAAAGGUUUAAAAAAAAAAGAAAAGGACCUGCAGCCUUUUCUGAUCUUAUUGCUGCUGUGCAUCCAUAAUCAGUUCUUAAGUUCGAGGGAGGGGCAAGCUACCGGACAAUCAGCUGGUAAAGGUGCUGGCCGCUAAGCCUGACCAUAGCUGGACCACAUGGUUAGAGGAGAAAACCAACGCCCACAAGCUGUUCUCUGAGCUUAAUAUCUGUGGCACACACAUGAUACUCUAUAUUAAUUAAAUGUGGUUUAAUUAGGUGUGUUUCGUUUUUAAUUCAAGUUCAGGCUCACUGGUUAAGGUCACUAUCUGCUCUUCCAGAGUUCCAGGGUUCAACUCUUAAUCAGUUUUUAAAUCUAAAAGAAGAUGAAGAAAAAAUGUUUUUCUAAAUAUCCUUGUAAGCCUGAAGCAAGGGCUCAUGUCUCUAAUCCAAGCAUGUGGGAUGUAGAGGCAGGAGGAAAACUAGUUCAAGCUAGCCUGGACUACAUGAAAUCCUGCCCCAAAGAAAGACACGGAACCUGGGAUGGUGCUCAGUAGGUAAUGGAACUCUUCAUCCAGACCCGAAAACUGAGUUUGCGCCCUGGGACCCAGAUGGCAGAGAGGAACUGACUCCCUGAAAUUGUCCUCUGACUUCUGCUGUGUCCUCUCCCCCACCACACACACACUAAAUAAACAAAUAUAAAACAAACAAACCCUUAUGCCAGACACUACUGAGAGAUUAUUAUUAUUUCAGUCCGUUUACGUAGGAAUUAUCAGACCUUAGAGAUAACAUAUCCAUACCACUUACACCAAAACUGCAAGGUUUCCAAGAGGGCAAACUGCUAUUUCUAAAAGAACCCUAUUGGCUGAGUAAGAGAAGAGCUGUUGAAUUAGCUCUGGUUAAGGAAACAGAAACCUUUGAGCAGCACAGCAGUUUCAGCACACCACGGAGAGCCAGCACUCGGGAAUUUGGGAGCUUGGCUAGUGUUGGAGUUUACAUAUUUGUGGUGGCUGGAAUGAUAAAUGUCUCUGACCUGCUCAGGUAUUUGAACCCUGGUCCCCUGCAAGUGAAGCCUUUUGGCUUUGGCACUGUUCAGGGAAGUUAUAAAAACUCUAAGGGUAUGGCCUUGUUGGAGGAAGUCCCUGGGCUUCCAGCCUUGACCCAGUUUCUUUGCUCUGCUUCCUGUUUGUCGAGGAUGUGACGUUUGCUGCAGUGCCCCCUGGCCAUUAGGGGACUCUCCCUCUGCAACUAAACCCUUUCUUCCAUGUGAUACUUUUUAGUGUUUUUUCACGGCAACAGAAAAGUAACUACUGGAAAACUAAUACAAUGUUUAAAGUCAAGGAUGGAGCUUCAAACAUUCAGUCACAUCCUGUCUUCCAUCAGGCUCUCCGAUUCACAAAAGAAGUGGAGUUUCGGAAGGUCAUUUGCUCGCUCCUCCAGGCGUUCCUAGGAUGAUCUUUAAAUGUAAUUGUCAGAAGUUCAUGAUUGGAUAGGAUUGAUUUAAGUAAAUAUAAUAAUAAUAUAUAUAUAAUAUAUUUACCACAGUGCAUGGAAAGGUUGGGGUGAUGGCUCAGACAGAAGAAAUAUGCUUGCCACACAAGCCGUGAGGACUUGAGUUCAAUCCCCCUAUAAAACCAGGCCGAGUGGCACAUGCCGGUAACCUCAACACUGGGAAAGCAGAGAGAAGAGCUUCUGUGGGAAUCAUGGAGCAGGCAGUUUAGCCACAAAGGACAAGAAAUGUGAGAAACCGGUGCUGAAUCGUGGGGGAGGGGACUCCGGAGCUUCUUUUGAUUACUGUUAAAUCCCUGUAGCCACAGCACCAUGGCAACCUUCCCAGUCUGCCACCUCAUUUCCAUCUGCUUCGAAGAACAAAGGGAGCCGGACAAAGGUGGUUCAACAUACACUCGGGCGAGUGUGCAUAAUUUAAGUCAAUGAAAAGGAACUAAAUUAAAAACUGUGUUCUACAAAAACUGGGAUUCCUGCCGGCUGGGGAGGUGGCUCGGCUGGUACAGUCCUUGCUUAUCAUGGGCUUUGAUUCUCCACUCUGUGAUAGCACAAGCCUGUCAGAUAUCCACAGCGCUCCAGAGUGCAGGCCGGGAUCAGUUGUCCAAGGUCAUCCUCUGCAGUAUAGAAAGUUUGAGGCUGUCUUGGGGUAUGUGAGACUGUUUCAAGAGAAGGAGGAGGAUGGAGAGAAUGAAAAGGGAGAGGAGAAGGAGGAAGAGAGGUUAAGUUUGUAAAAAACAGUGAACAGCUUAGAAGGUAAGUUCAGUACUUGCACAUCAAUGAGCGACUUCAAAAGAUUUUUUUUUCCCUGAGACAGGGUUUCUUUGUGCAGCCCUGGCGAGCCUGGAACUCACUCUGUAGACCAGGCUGGUCUCAAACUCAAGAGAUCUACCUGCCUCUGCCUCCCAAGUGCUGGGAGUAAAGGGGUGCAUGUAAUUGUAACUUUUAUUUGCCUGGUGUAAUUAUGGUCUCCAAGGCUUACUGCCUUUUAGUCUGCCUAGUCCUGGAAGCUUCUAAACUCCAUACUAUUUAAUCUAGGCCUAGAAUGUUUUCACCCUCUGAGACUUUACGGCUUGUAGAGAGCUGCGACGUGCCCCGCCUCAAAGAUGGCGCUGGUUUCCGCCUUCCACCCUCCCAACGGUGAGCGCUCCUUGCAGUAAACAAGUCCUUAUUUGGCUAUGUCUGCCUGGCCCGCUAGCUUCUGCAUAGUGACAGCCUAUCUACAUGACACACAUGGCUUGCUAGUACUGGCCAGUGCUAGCUAUUUAAGUAUGGUGCAGGGCGUUCCCCAGGGAGAGAGAGCCAGAAGAGAGAGAGGUCAGAAGAUUGAAUCAAGGUUCCUGAAUAAAACUGCUUGGAGAAGAUCUCCUGUGGUCGUGUCUUCCUUGCUGGUCG